rnacentral:rRNA from 1 species
AAACGGCCGCGUUAGCGUGAGCGUGCUAAGGUAGCGUAAUAAAUAGCCCCUUAAUUGGAGGCCAGUGAAUGGCAAGACUAGGAACACUUGUACCUUUUAUACCUAAAAAACUUUUCAUCUAAGUGAAAAGACUUAGAUAAUUAGGGCAGACGAAAAGACCCCGCGGAACUUUACCUUAUCCAAUUCAACGCCCAACAAGCACAAUAAAUGAAAGGUUUGAUUGGGGCAAUCUUGGAACCAACAAAGCUUCCAACUCUACCAAAAAAUUAUACAAAAUUUGAUAAAGACAAAAAAGAAGUUACCCCGGGGAUAACAGCGUAAUCCARCUUAAGAGUACGCAUCGAAAGUUGGGUUUGCGACCUCNAUGUUGGCUUAAGG